GUGAUAAAUACAGGCCUCUCCAGCGAGCAUCUCCUCUGGGCUAUCAACACAUCCAGUACUUCCUUUUCUGAAGGACAGUUCUUAAGUGCUGAAGGAUGUUUGAAAGCUUGUGCUCUCACCUGCUGUCUCCUAUUGAACCUGGGACUUUGAACGUUAUUUGACUGGGUCAUGGGGCUGAAAAAAUGCAGAGUUGAAGUAGUGCAAAGAUCUCAACAUAAUUACUUUCU
rnacentral:misc_RNA from 1 species